rnacentral:rRNA from 1 species
AAACUUUCAACAACGGAUCUCUUGGUUCUGGCAUCGAUGAAGAACGCAGCGAAAUGCGAUAAGUAAUGUGAAUUGCAGAAUUCAGUGAAUCAUCGAAUCUUUGAACGCACAUUGCGCCCUUUGGUAUUCCAGAGGGCAUGCCUGUUCGAGCGCCAUUA